GCCAUUUUCUUUUUGGUUGGGUUGGUUAGGAGAUUUAAUUUUUGAAAAUUGUUUGAUUUGAAGUUGUGGACACGAAAAUAAAGCUAUAGUUUGGGUUUUUUAUUUACCUAAAGCACGAUAAAAAAGUAUAUGGGUUAGUAAUUUUUUGUCCAUCGUUUUUUGGUAAAACACAGAGAGGUCCAUUGGAGAAAGCGACGAACGAGAUUUCCUGCAGAGGACGUUUUAACACGGAGGCUGGCGGAGAAAAAUAUGUCACCGCGAAAGAAGUGAGCUGUUAAGGAAAAGGAUAAAGAGAUGACACAAACAGAGGAGGAAGCCAUCAAGUGGAGAUUAAAUCAGAAACUCUGUUUUUUCAGUAGAAACAGAGCACCUUUACAAUCACUUCGCAUGUAUAUAAAUAACCAGAAAUUUAUCAGUUGGCAAUACAUAGCCAAAACGUAAUCCACGUGUACAUAUAUUUUUCAAAGUCUACAUGUACAAAGAUCACAAAAGCUUCAUAAUAGUAUCCACAUGUAUACUUUUUCUUAGGAACUACAUGUACACUGGAUCGCAAGAUCCAUGUAUACACAUCAAUUAUUUUAAGUUCUUGUCAUGUAAUAUGAAAUAAUUUGAAAGAAUAUUUAUUUAUUAUUGGAGAAUA